rnacentral:sRNA from 1 species
AUAUGGAUGAUUGAGUAUAAGAACUUAAACCGCAACCGGAUCUUAAAAGCCUAAGUAUUGUAUCCAUGUUAGAAGAUACAAAGACAAAGACUCAUACGGACUUCCACUACACCAUCAAAGCUUUGAAAAUCAAGAAGAAGCUUGGUUAGUGUUUUGGGGUCGAAUAUGACUUGAUGUGAUGUGUAUGAUUGAGUAUAAAAACUUAAACCGCAACCGGAUCUUAAAAGCCUAAGUAGUGUUUCCUUGUUCGAAGAUACAAAGCCAAAGCCUCAUACGUACUUUAGCUACACCAUCAAAGCUUUGAGAAGCAAGAAUAAGCUUGGUUAGUGUUUUGGAGUCAAAUAUGACUAGAUGUCAUGUGUAUGAGUGAGUAUAACAAGUAGAAGCGCAACCUGAUCUUAAAAGCCUAUGUAUUGUAUCCUUGUUGGAAGAUACAAAGACAAAGACUCAUACGGACUUCCGCUACACAAUCAAAGCUUCGAAAAUCAAGAAGAAGCUUGGUUAGUGUUUUGGAGUAGAAUAUGACUUUAUGUCAUGUGGAUGAUUGAGUAUAAGAACUUAAACUGCAACCGGAUCUUAAAAGGCUAAGUAUUGUAUCCUUGUUAGAAGAUACAAAGACAAAGACUCCUACGGACUUCCGCUACACCAUCAAAAGUUUGAGAAUCAAGAAGAAGCUUCGUUAGUGUUUUGGAGUCGAAUAUGACUUGAUGUGAUGUGUAUCAUUGAGUAUAAGAACUUAAACCGCAACCGGAUCUUAAAAGCCUAAGUAGUGUUUCCUUGUUCGAAGAUACAAAGCCAAAAC